CCCCAGGGUUCCAGCCACAGAGGCAGCGUGGCAGCAGCUCUCAGCAGCCCGUGUGGGUGUAAAGCUGCAGCAUGACCGAAACUCACAAGCAUUCCCAUGCUCUGAGGGGGUCUGGCCCCCAUGGGACCCAAGAAGAGGGGGCAGCAGCGCACAGAGGAGCUACAGCAGCCACCUCGACCCGACCAUGCGCCCCGGAUCAUCAGCAUCUGGAGCAAGAAGAGCCGCGCUUCUCCCUGGAGACGUUCACCAAAGAGACGCCUCUCCAGAGAGAAAGUUGGUGCCAUGGGCCGCCGGGAGCUCGGUUUAUUGUAUAGACGGUGGAACUGAAGAGCAGAGAUUUGAGGCUUAUCCAUAGCGAGGGGCUUGUUUAGACCUAGUUGCUGAAAUUAAGAUGGUGCUGCGCGAUCCUUUUCCAAA
rnacentral:lncRNA from 1 species